AUUGAACGCUGGCGGCAGGCCUAACACAUGCAAGUCGAACGCGUGGCGGACGGGUGAGUAAUGUCUGGGAAACUGCCCGAUGGAGGGGGAUAACUACUGGAAACGGUAGCUAAUACCGCCUACCAUCGGAUGUGCCCAGAUGGGAUUAGCUAGUAGGUGGGGUACCGGCUCACCUAGGCGACGAUCCCUAGCUGGUCUGAGAGAAUUACCAGCCACACUGGAACUGAGACACGGUCCAGACUCCUACGGUAGGCAGGAGUGGGGAAUAGUGCACAAUGGGCGCAAGCCUGAUGCAGCCAUGCCGCGUGUAGGAAGAAGGCCUUCGGGUUGUAAAGUACUUUCAGCGAGGAGGCGUUACUCGCAGAAGAAACACCGGCUAACUCCGUGCCAGCAGCAGCGGUAAUAC
rnacentral:rRNA from 1 species